CGCACCCCGCGACGGAAGCUCGGAAACCUCGGCUAUUCUCCACACAGCCCACACCACGGCAACUGCAAUGAAGCAUCAAGAAAGACAUGAGCAUGCCAACCACCCUGAGACUGAUAAUUCAGGGAACACAUUUCUGACUCACUAACAAAGUGGAUGGUGAGCAAAGGUGGUGGCCACGUUUUGGAGUUGCACCUGGGUUUUGCAGAAUUAUGCUAUGUAUUUCUUUUCCCAUUUUGUUUCUGUUGCCUAAAGAUUAUGUGUGAGGAUAAAUCCAGAGAAUACAACAUAAUGCACUGCAAAAUGUCCUAAGACAGGAGAAAUGGUGAAGAUUAACUGUUCCAGCAUUGGAAGAAUGUAAUUUUAAGUGUUAUA